rnacentral:lncRNA from 1 species
CGCAUUGCUUCCGGUGGGGCCGCCGCCAUCUUGGAGGGCCGCGUCCACCGCCGCCGCCGCCGCCGACUCCGCCGCCGCCGGAGAGGGCCCCGGAGGAGACCCCGCGGCUGCCGCCCCCCCGGUGGAGAUGGAGGCGGGGGGGAAGGCGGGCAGUGAGACGGACGCGAUGACGUCGGACGACUUCGAUAUCGUCAUCGAGGCGAUGCUGGAGGCGCCCUACAAGAAGGAGGAGGCGCAGCCCGGACCCUCAAAGCCACCGACGGAAACUGCGCCCCCUCAGCAGCCGCCCGAGGAGCACAGCAAGGAGCCCAAAAAGGAGAGCGGGGGCAGCAGCAGGUGGGCAAUGGGGGGCAAUAUGGGGGGAUAUGGGGGAUUUGGG